UGCAGUCGAACGGCAGCACGGGUGCUUGCGCCUGGUGGCGAGUGGCGAACGGGUGAGUAUACAUCGGAACCUGUCCUGGAGGGAGGGAUAGUCCGGCGAAAGCCGGAUUAAUACCGCAUACUAUCUACGGAUGAAAGCGAGGGACCUUCCUCCCUCGCGCUAUACGGUUGAUCGAUGACUGAUUAGCUAGUUGGAGGGGUAAAGGCCUACCAAGGCGACGAUCAGUAGCUGGUCUGAGAGGACGACCAGCCACACUGUGACUGAGACACGGCCCAGACUCCUACGGGAGGCAGCAGUGGGGAAUUUUGGACAAUGAGCGAAAGCCUGAUCCAGCAAUGCCGCGUGUGUGAAGAAGGCCUUCGGGUUGUAAAUUUUUUUUGUCCGGAAAGAAAUCCUUGGCUCUAAUACAGUCGGGGGAUGACGGUACCGGAAGAAUAAGCACCGGCUAACUACCUGCCAGCAGCCGCGGUAAUACGUAGGGUGCGAGCGUUAAUCGGAAUUACUGGGCGUAAAGCGUGCGCAGGCGGUUUGCUAAGACCGAUGUGAAAUCCCCGGGCUCAACCUGGGAACUGCAUUGGUGACUGGCAGGCUACAGUAUGAGCAGAGGUGGAAUUCAAUUCCACGUGUAGCAGUGAAAUGCAUAUGAGAUGUGAAGGAAUACCGAUGGCGAAGGCCCGCUGCCCUGUGUACAAGUACUGACGUGUCAUGACACGAGAGCGUGGCGGAGCAAGACAUAGAUUACCACUAGCCCUG
rnacentral:rRNA from 1 species